UGGCUAACGGGUGAGCUAACACGUGGGCAAUCUGCCCUGCACUCUGGGACAAGCCUUGGAAACGAGGUCUAAUACCGGAUAUUACCCCUGGGGGCAUCCCUGGGGGUGGAAAGCUCCGGCGGUGCAGGAUGAGCCCGCGGCCUAUCAGCUUGUUGGUGGGGUGAUGGCCUACCAAGGCGACGACGGGUAGCCGGCCUGAGAGGGCGACCGGCCACACUGGGACUGAGACACGGCCCAGACUCCUACGGGAGGCAGCAGUGGGGAAUAUUGCACAAUGGGCGAAAGCCUGAUGCAGCGACGCCGCGUGAGGGAUGAAGGCCUUCGGGUUGUAAACCUCUUUCAGCAGGGAAGAAGCGCAAGUGACGGUACCUGCAGAAGAAGCACCGGCUAACUACGUGCCAGCAGCCGCGGUAAUACGUAGGGUGCGAGCGUUGUCCGGAAUUAUUGGGCGUAAAGAGCUCGUAGGCGGCUUGUCGCGUCGGAUGUGAAAGCCCGGGGCUUAACCCCGGGUCUGCAUUCGAUACGGGCAGGCUAGAGUGUGGUAGGGGAGAUCGGAAUUCCUGGUGUAGCGGUGAAAUGCGCAGAUAUCAGGAGGAACACCGGUGGCGAAGGCGGAUCUCUGGGCCAUUACUGACGCUGAGGAGCGAAAGCGUGGGGAG
rnacentral:rRNA from 1 species